rnacentral:misc_RNA from 1 species
UGAUCAUCUCAAAAUCACGUAAUUUUUGGAUGGUUUUGGAAGUUGGGCUUUUGUGUUGUGACAUUUUCACAACUGGCCUGAAAUUUGAUGACAAAUCAAUGCAAGAAAACGUGUAGAUGCUUUUGUGGUAAAGACGAAAAGCUUAUUAGUUGACCUUGGUCAAACUUGCCGAUUAGUCUUAAUUGCGGAGCAAUUCUACAUUCACA